AGCACUUUUUAACAACUGUGCUGACAGAUGUAAGUCCGACGUGCGACACCGCACUGCCAAAGAUGGCUUUGGGAUUAC
rnacentral:ncRNA from 1 species